AAUUUUAUACAAAGCUCUUUUAACCUAAAAGACCGUUCUCACGGUACGACUUGUAGUAACUACUUGUAGAAUCGACACGAGUUGCAAUGUGAGAACACC